rnacentral:rRNA from 1 species
GUUUGAUCCUGGCUCAGAAUCAACGCUGGCGGCGUGCCUAACACAUGCAAGUCGAACGAGAAAGUGGAGCAAUCCAUGAGUAAAGUGGCGACCGGGUGAGUAACACGUGACUAACCUACCUUCGAGUGGGGGAUAACAUCGGGAAACCGAUGCUAAUACCGCAUAACAUCGCAAGAUCAAAGCAGCAAUGCGCUUGAAGAGGGGGUCGCGGCUGAUUAGCUAGUUGGCGGGGUAACGGCCCACCAAGGCGAAGAUCGGUAUCCGGCCUGAGAGGGCGCACGGACACACUGGAACUGAAACACGGUCCAGACUCCUACGGGAGGCAGCAGUGGGGAAUUUUGCGCAAUGGGGGAAACCCUGACGCAGCAACGCCGCGUGGAGGAUGAAGCCCCUUGGGGCGUAAA